UGUGUGAAACCUCCGUUAUUUCGUUUCAGCGUGUCGAAGUUCGAUCCGAAAUACUCGAGGCUUGACUUUUCGACGAGGCGAAAUUCGAAAAGGCCCGAGGAAAUUCGACAACCGGCGAGGCAGGUCAAUCUCUAAAAUUCCAUUUUCGCGUUUCUUCUAGAUUUGAGAUGAUCCCGAUCACAGGCAGGAGCCCGGGCGUUGUACAAAGUUCCAUCGCCACCGUCAAAUCUUUCUACUACGAUUCUUUUAAAUGGAAUAUGGUAAAAUGUGUGGUGAUAGCAGGCCUGGGAGUUGGAUUUGCACGGCAGUGCAGAGGAUUUGAGCUAAUGCCUCCUACAUCGUAAACGCCUGAUUAAACAUAGCCUAAAUACCGCCGGAUUCGUUUAAUUUAUUCAGUGACUCCGUCUCGAGAACGCUUCACUAUUUCCUUUUAACCGAUUGUAAAAAUGAAUACAAUAUUAAAUUAAAAAACGCUUUUUGUUAUGCUUAAUAAAAUUCUACUCCGAUAAUUUUAUACAUAA